AUCACACAAAUCGGUUUUCGCAUACCGGAACACGGUGUAAAUCCGUGGCGGUCCCGCCGCUGUAAUCGGAGAGGUUCUUCAUGAUGGCUAAUGGCCGGCCACUGCCGGGGUAAACCCCGGCGGGAAGGCGGUGAAGAGCUGACGACCCGAGAGCCAGAAGACCUGCGACAACCGAAGCAAUCCG
rnacentral:ncRNA from 1 species